ensembl:lncRNA
AGCAUUUUAAAAAUGAAUGUGUUUGAGUUUCAUUGCUCCAAAGCAAUGUUUUCAUAUAAGCAAGAUAACAACCAGUUUGCAACCAUGUAAGUACAGUCCUCUAUUGUGAACAGACGUGUUGGCAAUCUGUCUGCGUUUAUAAAUUAGACAACAGUUAUUUGCAAAUCUUCAUCAAUCUGCCUGAGAGUGAUUGCAGUCGGUCUGAGUUAGACUGCAACUGUUUUGAGUCAGGUUGCCUCCAAGGAGGCAGUUUAUUAUUUUCCUUUCCUAGUUGGACAGAUGGCUGUUGUUUUGUUUUUACUGUAGUGUGCUGGGCCAUUAAUGGCUCAGGGGCUGCAGCGUAUCCGCGCCAACACCUAAGGCCAACGUGGAAUCACCGGUCAGACUAACAUAAAGAAAGAAUCUGUUAAAUUACACAUUUGUAUUCAUUAAGUCACAGACAAUGAAAACAAGCAGAAAUCAAGAUGUAAUAUUUUUAUAAUUUUAUUGAUGUUAAAUUAAAGUUCCAGCUUAGUUAUGUUAUCAGUGCAAGUCACUUCAAUCUGUAUAGCACCAAAGGAAACAAUGGUGUUUUCAAGGUGCUUCACACUGUAAGGUAACAACUUACAGUAUUAAAAAGAAAACCCCAAAAGAACAAACCCCUCUGAGCAAGCACGAGGCGACAGUGGGAAGGAAAAACUCCCUUUUAAGAGGAAGAAACCUUCGACAGAACCAGGCUCAGGGCGGGGUGGCCAUCUGCCGCGACCAUUCCUGGGGAUUUCAAAAAUGACUUGAUCUGAUCUAAAUGUAAAACUAGCUCAUUUAAAGUGUCCAGUGAGUUUUAGAAAAUAUUUUGCUGUUGAUAUCACGAUGUCACUAUAAAGUGGAAACUUUGUUUCUUCCCUUACACCUCCCAAAAAAUGCACGCACCGAUGAGAAGCACUUAGAUAUGCAACUUGGUUCUGGGAAUAUCUUUCUUUUGAAAGUUUUAACAAUAUCUUCAUCAAGAUCUUGGAAGUUGAAUUGCAAGAUUGUCACCAUAACCGCUGCAUGCUUCCAUCUUUUACAGAGGGAUUUGAAAACCCUCUCGCUGAGUUUCUUGAACUUCUCUGGUGGGAUUUUGUCGUAUCUGGCCCUGAUUUCAGUCCAGAUUUUCAUGUGUGUCUUUUGUCCCCUUUUUCGUCUCCUCAUCCCCAAAGGGUCGCAGCGGGCUGCCCCUCCCUGACCGUGGUUCUGCCAGAGGGUGCUUCCUGUUAAAAGAAAUAGUCAGGACCCAGAUGAACCUGUGCUGGAAUUCAGUGUGGGUGAGUAAUAUGAGCAUUUAUGAAGGCUGUCCAUGACCUGUAAUUAAAUUUAGCGUCAUUAGUGCCACUCAUUGCAAGUGACAGUGCACAUGCUUUCAGCAUGGAGUCUGCUCUUAUGGUAGCAAAAUAAAUUCAGAAAAUCUCCAUCAAAAAGCAGCUCAGCAGCAGAAAUAUAUAUGGUCAGCUGGUUGUGAGUUAAUGAGCAUGUGAAAUCAGUGUGAACAUUUUGAAACAACAACUCUCCAA